CUGUAUUUUAGAGCUAUACUCCUGGAGCAGUUCCCAUCUGCUGCUAAGGUUUCUGCUAGAGAUGCAAGAAAAAAGUGUCCUCAUGCUUUCUGUCUGUCUGGUUGUGGCCGUUAAGAUUGAAUGGGGGAAUACAGGG
rnacentral:snoRNA from 1 species